rnacentral:rRNA from 1 species
CCUACGUGUGGCAGCAGUAGGGAAUUUUCGUCAAUGGGCGCAAGCCUGAACGAGCAAUGCCGCGUGAACGAGGACGGUCUUCGGAUCGUAAAGUUCUGUUGAAGGGGAAAAAGAGCGGAGAGAGGAAAUGCUUUCUGAUUGAUAUUACCCUUCGAGGACGUCACGGCUAACUACGUGCCAGCAGCCGCGGUAAUACGUCGGUGGCGAGCGUUAUCCGGAAUGGUUGGGCGAAAAGGGUGCGUAGGCGGCCUGCUAAGUCUGGGGUGAAAGGUACCGGCUCAACCGGUACAGGCCCUGGAAACUGGCGGGCUAGAGAUGAGGAGAGGGCGGUGGAACGCCAGGUGUAGCGGUAAAAUGCGUAGAUAUAGGGAAGAACACCAGUGGCGAAGGCGGCCGCCUGGCCUGUUACUGACGCUGAGGCACGAAAGCGUGGGGAGCAAAUAGGAUUAGAUACCCUUGUAGUC